UGGAAGUGAUGAAAUAGAGAUAAUGGGAUGUCAUUUUGAAUGGAGUGUGUGUGAUAAAUGGACUGGGGGUGGGGUGUGGGGAAUGUGUGUGUGCGUGCGUGUAUAGAAAAGGCUUUAAACGGGGGCACUGAUAAUGCAGUGCUGAUUCCGGAGUGCAUCUGAGGCAUGUUGUUAAGUUCUGGGGUGCCACUUUACAACGUUGCCAAUGAUUAAAGCCCAAAACAAGCCCACCAAGACAAGCCUAGGCAUCUUAAAUCUCUAACAGGUUCAUUAAUGAAAGUGAUCCUGUGAUCUGAUCUGA